GGAGGGAUACCGAAGUGGUCAUACCGGGCUGGUCUCGAAAACCAAGCGUGGGGCAAACUCACACGUGGGUUCGAAUCCCACUCCCUCCGCCA
rnacentral:tRNA from 1 species